UACGUAGGGGGCAAGCGUUGUCCGGAAUCAUUGGGCGUAAAGCGCGUGUAGGCGGUCCGGUAAGUCGGCUGUGAAGGUCCAGGGCUCAACCCUGGGAUGCCGGUCGAUACUGCCGGACUAGAGUUCGGAAGAGGCGAGUGGAAUUCCCGGUGUAGCGGUGAAAUGCGCAGAUAUCGGGAGGAACACCAAUGGCGAAGGCAGCUCGCUGGGACGUUACUGACGCUGAGACGCGAAAGCGUGGGGAGCAAACAGG
rnacentral:rRNA from 1 species